UCGGAAAAAAAAAGUCACACGUAAAUCCCCCCGUCGUCCGGAACCACACAGAGCAAGCAGAUUCAUUAAUUCGCCACGACGUCAACGUGUCGAUUGAUUGAUUGAAUGUUCCUAUUUGCCAGCCAAGUCGAGAUAGCCAGUAAGUCGUCGCAGUCGAUGAGCUUAGUCCAAUCACGUUCCACAUCGAUCGGUGCCAAAUAUUAAAUUCACGGUCGGGCGAUGGGUUCUUCGAGCAGUCAAGUGCAGCAUUUUUCGCGCGCCCAAACAAAACUAAAGUGCGAUUCUGCCGGAAGAACCCAGUAGGCCGCUCGGAGGAGCACGUGAAUCACAAGCUCCAUGGAAAUGAGGUGCAUUAAAAUAAAUAUAUGUAAUCGAAUCCAAAUGCACUCAGUUGCAUCGAAAAUCAAAUUUUAUUUUUUAAACAAGUUACAAAAUUUUGGUCACAAUGUCAAACGGAACCGUGGUUCACGACCAGGCAGGUGAUCCAAAUCCGGAAGCAGAAGUACCAACCCAGCAAUGGAUAUCGGAACUGCAGCAGGCCAUGAGUUUGAGGGAGAGAAAAAUAGUUCCGCGUGUUGGUUGGCCUUCUUCAUGGUAGUUUGCACACAGACGAAUCGUUGGAAGAGGAAGUUAACACGCACGCGACCUACGGGUGACUGUGAUGGGGAGGGAGGAAAUUAAAAUUCUGAUUGAUUCGUGUAAUAAUUAAGCGCAGAGAAGGGGUUAUUCAUGGUUGGAAUAGUGUGGAUUUCAAUUAUUGUCUUUUACGAUUAAAAACGAAAAAUUUCGUGAUGUGGGAAUUCAGCAAAGGACAGUGAAAAAAAUAAAAAUUUCCAAAAAAACACAAAUUUGGCCGCAUUUUCAUAAAUCUGAAGUGAACUUCAAAAUCUUUUCAAGGGCUACAACAAAAUUAAAAUUUUUCAAAAGGCCUUUCAAGGAGCAAUUCAAAAAUAAAAUAGUUGAAAGAUCUGGUUGCACAGUUCUACGCUAUGGAGACAUAAGUAGAACUAUGCAGUUGUUUGUUUAUGUUUGAUAUGGAAACGUCAACUUAGCUUAGAUACGUUAAUUCACUAAUUUACCUACUGUUUCAUUGUAGAAUAUCAUAUCCCUAUCUAUGAAGUCCAAUUCCUACGCUACGUAAUUUUUAAUGUAAAGUGAUUUUAGAUAGGCUAUAAGUUUAUUGAUUUUAAUGAUUUAUAUUCGCUCAUUAAAAAAAAUUAAAACGAUAAAAAAUAGUUUAGCAACCCUGCAAAUAGGGGAACAGCAUCUAAUUCCAGCGUGCCUCUAAUGUUGGCAGGUAAGCACUUUGACAUUCAAUUAAAGCUAAUUAAAAGCGUUUUCAACUGAAAUCGAGUGAUAAAUAGCUCAACAAGAAGUGAGCAAGCAAGUUUAUAUCAAAAGUUUUGCAAAUUUAGUUGUUUAAAUAGUGAAAAUCAGCAAAUUGGAUGGAAUUAGGCGCGAGUGAUUAACCUGCCAAAGAUACGAGAAUUUCCCCUACCCGUUCAACCCAUCACACAUCACAUCAACUAACGAAGUUCACUGUCAAAGUCAAAUCAGCGAAAGUUUUAUGUUCUGGAAAAAAAAACGCGGCUGCAACAGUAGCACGCGCUCUCGUCCGUUAAAACACUCGACUCGAGCUUGAAACGGAAGAGAUCCUUUAAAUAUAGAACACGCAACGAAGCAUAAAAUGAGCGGGAAAUAACAAACUCAAGUCGAAGCAGGAGGGAGGACGCUCGAAACGUGGUGGGAUUUAUAAGGUCGACCUUCCGCCGUCCUUUCUUGGGCAAAAGUUUGCUAAUUUAAAAAAAAGGAGGAAAGAAAAAUAAUAGGAAAAGACACUGCCCACACGCUAGACAAGGGUCCGACUAGUCGCGAAUGUAGGUUAAGUGUGUACUAAAAUCGCAUCAUCGAAUUCUGGGGGACCGAUAGCGCGCAGAAAAGUGGGUCAAGAAGGGAUGAAAACUUGCCAACGUUGGUGAUAAAUUUGCGUUUUGUUUGGCAUGGAUUUUUUUUUAUCUUGUUAAGUUUUGAGGAUGAUAUCGUGAUUUCCGGAGAACUUGGAAGUAUCGUUGCCAGAUAGGACUAAAACCGUUGCCAGUAUCGGGCACAUUCCGGAGGGAUCUAUUUUUGUUUCGUUCAUAAUUCAAUAAACAUUUCCCGCUGCAUUGUAGCUAAUUGAAUAAAUUAUGUGUAGUAAAAAUUAAUUUCGCGAGUUAUGAAUUAUUAAUCCGAUAAAUGUAGCACAGUAAUUGGUGCGGUGCCCAUCGGUGUUCGACACUCACAUUGGUGGUCCCACGCGGUAAUAAUGGUCCGCUCGAUGUACUGGAGUACCGCGGCAUAUCGGAUCCACGUGUCCAAUCCAUUCCCACAUCAACUCAUCAGCACUCUCCCGCACCCCCUACCUCCCACCUCCAGGAGUGCAGUAUUUGCAUUUUCGCGUUUCAUUUAACAUGGAAUUAUAGCGAAAAUUGAUAAUUCGCAUCCCAGACCAGCAAAGCCCACGAUACUUGUACCGGGUCGAGUGGUGGAAUCGAUUCGCAGGUUGAGGUCUCGUUAAGAACCAUCUCAACAGCAAGAGACCACACAUUGUCUGGUAGCAGAUUAACAGAGAUGAUUCGAUAUGGUAUUACUUCCGAUGUGUAUGUACAAUCCAAUACCAGCUGGCCGGCAGUUGCCUGGAUGUGAUUCAAUAUCGGAACAAUACCGUCUGUGUCGCAUAAUCGCAAAUUAUGUUUCCCACCUUUAACGCACUCUAACUCAGCAACGUGUUGAUCAGAGAUAUCCACAGGUAUACUGCUCAGAUCGAUUGACUUCGAAUAGGACAAGUAGUCAGUUGAGAUUCUUCGAGAAUGUCACUAUGGUCACCAUUUUACAAACAAUGAGUUCCUCGGUGCCACCUGCUCAGCGCCGUACCUAGGGGUUGACCCAUGGGGGGCACCGAAAUCGAUGAUUGUACAAAAUUUUCAUGUCAGCUAUAACAUCCUCAUUAGAUAUUUGAAACAAAAAGUUUGCCGAAUUAUAAAAUACAACUACAAAUAACUAGAUAAUUUGGUCUAAAAUACAAAAAAAUAUUUAGGGGCGCCAAAGUCAAUUGUAUGAAUAUUUUUACUGAAGUGUUUUUGAAAAUUCAUACUUGUUGCUAAAUUUAUUUUUUCAUCAAAUAAGGGGCGCUCAAGUAGCAGAAAAUUAAAGGAGUUCUAGAAGAGCUUCUCAAAAUAAAUACACGUUAAAGUUAAGACCGUUGUAUAAUGAAGUUUAAGUCAUACCAAACAGACUUGUCCAACUAUAUGUUAUUUUCACGUUAAUUUGGCUGUGAAUCACAAACAGUCAAAUUGGGUCCUAAAAUGAAGCUUAGAUUGCUGAUAUUAUUGUUUACAGCGAUAAAGCUUAUUUUUCUCAGUACAAUGACCAUUUGUACGACCACAAAGAGUUUAAAAUGGAUUUUUAAAUCAAUUUUGAAAAAUUAACCUCGCGGUCCUUCUUGACAGAAAAGUUCCUACUUGACAGCUCGUUCCAAGGGGACCAUAGUUGAUCCAUCGAAAAAAUGUUGUCUUGUCAAAAAAAAAUUUUGCAUUAAAAUGAAAAAAAGUGAUCAGAAAUGGUUUUUAAUCGUGUUUUUUACCGUUGUACAUAAAAAUUGGCAUAGGGCUUUAGUACCCAAUUGUGAAAAAACUAUGGUCAUAUUUUGAGCUUCUUUAAAAUAGGAAUUAUUUUAACAUUAAAACAUAUACCUUUCUUUUGAUUACAUUCUCGAGUUAAAAAAUGGCAUUUGCAAUAUUAUCAGCUUGAUUUCCCCUUUUAUAAUCAACUUCGUGCAUUGAAAUUUGCUUACUCUUUUACAAAAUACUAGAGUUUAAAAAUUGGAAAACUGCUGUAAAUUUUCACCAAUACGACCAACAUUAUUUUUUCAAGAAAAAAAAAUGUUUUUCAAAGCACAUAACUUUUCAGUUUUAGCUUAACCGGUGUUGUUUACUUUUUAAAUCGUCUAAAAAGCUUUGGUAAUGAAAAAAAUAGUUAAAAACAAAAAAAAACAUAUCGGGAUUUAAAAACAUUUGCAUAGUUUUGCGCAAAAAAUAUUUUUCUAGAAUGUAAAAUUAAAUUUUUCGGAUUUAAAAAAAUAAAUAAAUUUUGAUGAAAAUAAAAAUCAAUACAAAACAUAAAUGGGUACUAAAGCCAUACGUCAUUUUUUAUGUACAACAGUAAAAAACACGACCAAAAACCAUUUCUGAUCACUUUUUUUUUCAUUUUAAUACAAAAAAAAAUAAUGACAAGACAACAUUUUUUCGAUGGAUCAACUAUGGUCCCCUUGGAACGAGCUGUCAAGUAAGAACUUUUCUGUCAAGAAGAACCGCGAGGUUUAUUUUUCAAAAUUGAUUUAAAAACAUAAACUUUAAAAAAUAUUUGCAACGGCCUUAAAAAAAUAAAAUUAUGAAAUAUAAUCUCAAAUAUCGUGCGGGCAAAUCACUCAAAAUGAAUAAAAUUUUCUUAUCCUAUUUUUUUUAACAAAAAAAUCUUCAAUACUUAAAUGUUUUGGAAACUUAUGAUUGCAAAAUAACUGGACUAUUCUGCAUUUUAAAACACUUUUUUCAUUCAAAUGUUAAAACCGUGGCCUGUAAUUUCAAUUUUUAACUUUUUUAUUUUUUUUUUGGUCAGAGUCGAGGGACAUAAAAUUCAAAAAAUAUUUGCUAAGGCCUAAAUUGAUUUAUAAAAACUUCAUCAUCCCGGUACGAGAAUCGAACUCACGUACUCUGGAUUGAAAAUCCAGCACGCCGUUUUUGGAAAUCCAUGGGAUUUGAACACUUUGUUCGUGGUUCCCAUUUUCGUGAACGCUUGUUCACGAUUUUGGGAACUCUUUUUUCUCCGUGCGGUCAGUAUUCCCAGAGAGCAGAUUUACUCUUUGAAGGGAUCUGACUUUGCCGAGCCAGACAGGAAUCGAACUCAUCACCUUCCGCUUACAAAGCGAAACCCGUGACCUCACGGAAACGGUAGCUCAGCAAAAACUAUAUAGUUGAUUUUUGGAAGGUUAAUAAUUUGAUUGGUUGAAAUUGCCUCUUUUUGAGUAAUUUCACAUUAAAAUUGCGUAAAAGUGUGAACCUGAUUUUGACGAAAUUUUGUUGAAAAAUUAUACAUCGAUGCCGGGGCUCAGCUAAGCUUGCUGAGAUUCCUAUCUAGGUAGAACAAAAGAGCACACGGGCAUCCAAUUAUUAUUUUUUCAAUUUUGAAGAAUGAUUUGUUUCUUUUUUCGUUGUAAUUAACGAAAUGAAAUCCAAAGCCAAAUCAGCUAAUUAUUUUACGAACCGGGAAAUUUUUGUGCUUAUACACUCAAAUUAAUACUACAUCAGAUCAAAUUAUGCAGACUUAAAAUAUCAUAUUAGCUUUCAAGUUAUAGCAAGUUUAGUUCAAGUUUAGUUCUAGAAGUAUUAUUCCAAUGUGAUGAGUGGGUGUACGACAUGCUCUGCCUACGUAGUGUGUUGGGGGUGCUUACAAAAUCAAUCAAUUGGUCAUCUCUAUGCGAAAGAGAUUUGUGCUUCAUAUGUUAAGCAGUGAGAUCUAUUUUUCGAAACGGUUGUAGAGAUGGAAUGGAAACAAAAAAGAAAUGGUAGUGAUUUUACGUAAAAAGUGUGUGACAUGUCGCGAUCAAAUAGUUUGAGUGAAAACAUAAGUGUUUUUGAGAAUGAAUGAUGUUCAAAGAAGAAGAGCAUGUUGAUCGAUAGUUGGAGUUCUGACUAUGUAAAAAAUGUGGUCUGAGGGUAGGGUUUACUUGCCACAAUGUUGUGAAUGAUGGCGAAACAAGCACUUGUUGAAAGAUUUUCGGGUGAGUUCGUUUCAUGUCGUGUGCGCGUGUGUGUGUGUGUGCGUGGUAGAGAGAGAGAGAGAGAGAGAGUCCGCGUUUAUAACGUUUUUUUUUUUAAAUAAAUCUGUAUCGCCGUGGGGUUUUGUGCACUCAGUCGGUUCGCGUCGUGUCCGUCGCGUUUGAUUUUCGUGAUUUGUUUGAUUCUGAAUUGACACCCGGUUCUGUGCACUCUGCCGGUUUGCGUCGCGGCCGUCGCGCUUGAUUUUUUUUUGUUACGGCGGUUUCAUGGCGGUUUUUUUGUAAAAUUUAGGGUAUUUUGCAGUUAAAAUUCGUUAAUUUUAGAAAUUUUGUCAUCGACGCGUUAUUGAUUCAAGACCGGUUAUUGAUUUUGUUAAUUUUGUUUUCACGAUGUCGCGAUAUCAAUAGAUUUUGUUUCGUUUUGUAGUGUUUUCGUGUUAUCCGCUAGAAUUUUAAGUACUCGUGACUAGACCUUUCCUUAGCAUCGCAGCUCGUAAGGCAGGGUGAUAAGUAUUAUUUCAACGUGAUUAUUCACGCCAUUUCUAUAGCGUCGCAGACUAUCCCGAUCGUACGCCAUACGUAUAAUUUAAUAAUCAAGUAUGUAAACCGCUCCAAAUUAACUUACAUAGGUUAAUAUUUUACCCUUUAACUACAUAUCGUUUUGGUUUUAUCUUUCCACAGCCGGCUGUCUAAGAUAAAAACACUUCAUUAAAAAUUUAACAACAGUUAAACGGGAAAUGUCUCAUCCGCAGCAUCCGAUUGUUUGCCUUGAGAAUAAAAUAUAAUACCUUUCAACAAACACUAUGAUUUUGGGUCGCAUCAUCAUCUUCUAUGAUGAAUCCUGACCAAACACCCUAUCCUACUAACAAGUUUUCAGGUUCCUGGCGCUCGUGGGGUGUAAGCACAGAGUAAAUCAGCUGCCCUAGUAGCAACCAGCGCUAACUAACAUUCCCGUCCCUUUAAAAUCGAGAUCUACAAACUGACAUGGCGGGCGCCGUUGGUGGCCAAUGACUGUUACCUAUUCACAACUGAUCUAGUUUUGGCAAUCAUGGUGUUCUAUCUUUUCAGCGCAUUCAUACAUGCUGUUGAUAAGGGAAAUACCACUUGAUAGUCGAAGCCUAUGAUCAGUAGAGCUGAAAGGAUAUUACGGUUCUGUUCAGCAACGGAGAAGGACAACCAUGGGUGGUCUCUCAUGCUCAUGCUCAUGCUCAUGCUCAUAUUAGCUUUCAAGUUAUAGCAAAAUUUAUCAUGAUUGAGCAUUGAAUUCUGUGCAUUUAUCUGAAAAAUAAAUUAAAAAAUAUAAAAAAAAAACCUGCUAUCAUUAUCGAUUUUAUGAAACCUGAUUCAAUAUUCAGCCAACUUAACUCCUAUAAAAAAAAUCUAUUCAUCCUAUCUAUAUUAUUUGAAAAAUAAUGUUUCUGAAUUUAAUCAUAUUAAGGUCUCCAAUUGCAAUUAUAAAAUCAAAACACAUAUUGAAGCAAUCAUUGAAAAUUAAUAUCAAUUUUUCAAAAUGCUUGUAAAUUUGGGAGGGGCGCCAAAUUGACGGUUCGACAAGGGCGCCGUGGACCCAAAGUACGACUCUGAGGCUUCUAUAACAGUUAGAGGAACAGCAUCUAAUUCCAGCGUGUCUCUAAUGUUGGCAGGUCGGAACUUUGACAUUCAAUUAAAGCUAAUUAAAAGCGUUUUCAACUGAAAUCGAGUGGUAAAUAGCUCAAUAAGGAGUGAGCAAGCAAGUUUCUAUCAAAAUUUUCGCAAAAUUAGUUGUUUAAAUAGUGAAAAUUAGCAAAUUAGAUAGAGUUAGGAGCGAGAGCUUAACCUGCCAAACAUACGAGAAUUUCCCCUAGGCAAUGUUAUGAUAUAUUUUAACAAAAAGAAUCGUUUUUGACAAUGUAUGUUAUCAAAUGAGAUAGAACACAAAGUUAAAAUUAGAAAAUUUGAAAAAUAGAUAGUUUAAAAAAAUUAAAAGCAUUUUCAUUGAAUUUUAAUUAUUCCGUUGUUUUGGAAUUAUAUUGUAAAUGCAGAAGGGUAGUAGUAAAAGAGAGUUGAAUCAAAACCAGUUCCAUAUUUGGCGUGUGAAAUUACUCACAUGCAUGAUAUCGCCUUCAUUAGGUAAUUUACAGUAUGUAUAAAAAGUAUUUACACCCCUUGGGCACUAUGCACAUAUUGUGAUGAAACAUCUAAACAAUUUAAUGUUGACAGAAACCUAGUACUACGUUUUGUUCAGAAACUCAUGCCAGACAUUUUGCUACAAAAAGCUCAUGAAAAGAUGAUUUCUAUAAAAAGUUAUAUAACAAAUACUAUUACGAAACUAAAAAAGGUGCAAAAAAAGUUUGUACACCUUUCGAAAAAUUAACAUAAAUAAUGUUAUUUGUUGACAAAUCACCAUAAAUCCAGUCUCCCAACUUCAAAUAGGCAUCCUUGACUGAUUUAUAAAAUAAUUUGGAUUGAAUAUAAAGUUUACUAACAACUUAGUAUAAAAGUUUAUAUAACUCUGGAAAUUCUAUAUAAAACUUAUCUAAACUUAAUUUUGCAAACUUUUAAUUCAACUAAAUGUCAAUAUAUUACCAUAUAAUUGCUAAAUAAACAUUUUGGAGUGGGUAUAACACCGUUUUGGGGGUAUUUGUAUCGAUAGAAUAGAUUUUUCGUUGGAAUUUCGUACCAACCCGGAAUUACGUCGUCGGAAAAUCCGCCGGCAUCCGAACCGGUCCACAAUUCUUAAGUCAACCUAUGUGGCAUCGGAAAGGGCAUAAAAUUUCCGAUCUUUUGAUACCCAUACAUCUAGGUUUUCUAUAAAACCCACGAUUUUAUAUACCUAGGUAAAAACGUUGUUAUGGUUUUGUUUGAGCAAUCUGCCAAAAAUGUAUGGAAUUUCGUAAUUUUUGUUCUCGUGGAUCAAACUUACUUUUUGCCCAGGUAUUUAAAAACGUGGGUUUUAUAGAAAACCUAGAUGUAUGGGUAUCAAAAGAUCGGAAAUUUUAUGCCCUUUCCGAUGCCACAUAGGUUGACUUAAGAAUUAUGGACCGGUUCGAAUGCCGGCGGAUUUUCCGACGACGUAAUUCCGGGUUGGUACGAAAUUCCAACGAAAAAUCUAUUCUAUCGAUACAAAUACCCCCAAAACGGUGUUAUACCCACUCCAAAAUAUUUAUUUAGCAAUUCUAUGGUAAUAUAUUGACAUUUAGUUGAAUUAAAAGUUUGCAAAAUUAAGUUUAGAUAAGUUUUAUAUAGAAUUUCCAGAGUUAUAUAAACUUUUAUACUAAGUAGUUAGUAAACUUUAUAUUCAAUCCAAAUCAUUUUUUUAAUCAGUCAAGGAUGCCUAUUUGGAGUUAGGAGACUGGAUUUAUGGUGAUUUGUCAACAAAUAACAUUAUUUAUGUUAAUUUUUCGAAAGGUGUACAAACUUUUUUUGCACCUUUUUUAUUUUCGUAAUAGUAUUUGUUAUAUAACUUUUUAUAGAAAUCAUCUUUUCAUGAGCUGUUUGUAGCAAAAUGUUUGGCAUGAGUUUCUGAACAAAACGUAGUACUAGGUUCCUGUCAAACUUUAAAUUCUUUACAUGUUUCAUCACAAAAUGUGCAUAGUGCUCAAGGGGUGUAAAUACUUUUUUUACAUACUGUAUAU